GGAGAGGUGCCGGAGUGGUUGAACGGGCUCGUCUCGAAAACGAGUAAGCGGCGAAUGUUGUUUCAUGGGUUCGAAUCCCAUCCUCUCCGCCA
rnacentral:tRNA from 1 species